ensembl:lncRNA
AUGCUUUCUAAUAUCCACUGUGCUUCAGAAUUACAACUCUCUAUAUGUAUAUACUAUUCUUCUUACAGAAAUGGGAAUUCUUUCUCCUUCCUACACUCACCUCUUCUCUGUGGUGCAACGGCUAGACUGGGAGGAAAAAGAGGCUUCAAUCUGGAAGGUGGUUUUCUGGAGCAGAAAAGCAUUUCAGCAGGGAAGGCUUAUAACCUGACCCAGCCCCAGCAUGUAUUAGGUAUAUGCCACUUACAGUGCUUUGUUACUUGCUCUACUAUAAUUAUUCAGGGUGAUAGUUUGUGUAUGUUGAGGAAGAUUAAGAAAAAAAUAACUAUGCCAGGAAUUCACACCUUGUGAAAGAAUGAUGUAUAUAAACAACCAGUUAAUGCCAAUAACUUUAAAAAAACUAUUGAAAAAUUUGUAACACUGAAGUAAUACAUUGAUGAUCAAUACCAGUUGCUUAAAUCAGUGGCUGACUGGAAAAUAACUUAAAAAUUCUUCUACACCUAAUUCCAGUCCAAGUCUCAAACAUAGGUGGUACCUGGCAAAAUAAUCCCCAAAGUUUAUCUGCAAGAGAACAUGGUAUCAACUAUAAGCUAAAUAUUUGAAUUCACUAGGAUAUUUUAGCUCCAUUUUUUAUAUUUUAGAUAGAGGGGCAUAGGCUUUGUAGAUGGACAUGGAAAACUUAGAAUCUUUGCCAUAUUUUAGUUGGGUGGCAUUUGAUAUAUUUUUUUAAUAUCUCUGGACUUCAUUUGUAAAGUGAGGGAAAUAAUACCCACAUCAUAGAAUUAUUAUGGGGGAACAAAUGGAGUAUAUUAUAUACACAAUGAGAAGAGUGACACAUACCAUACUCAGUACAUAGUAGCUAUAUAACUGAAGAUGUUAUAUAAGGAAAUACUGUAGCAUGUAACACCUCUAUACUAUAAAUAAAGUAAGAGUCAUGUUCA